AUUGAACGCUGGCGGCAUGCCUUACACAUGCAAGUCGAACGGCAGCACGGGUGCUUGCACCUGGUGGCGAGUGGCGAACGGGUGAGUAAUACAUCGGAACGUACCUUAUCGUGGGGGAUAACGCAGCGAAUGCUGUGCUAAUACCGCAUACGCCCUGAGGGGGAAAGCGGGGGAUCGAAAGACCUCGCGCGAUUAGAGCGGCCGAUGCCUGAUUAGCUUGUUGGUGGGGUAAAAGCCCACCAAGGCGGCGAUCAGUAGCUGGUCUGAGAGGACGAUCAGCCACACUGGGACUGAGACACGGCCCAGACUCCUACGGGAGGCAGCAGUGGGGAAUUUUGGACAAUGGGGGCAACCCUGAUCCAGCAAUGCCGCGUGAGUGAAGAAGGCCUUCGGGUUGUAAAGCUCUUUUGUCAGGGAAGAAACACCGGCUCUAACACAGUCCGGGAAUGACGGUACCUGAAGAAUAGGCACCGGCUAACUACGUGCCAGCCGCCGCGGUAA
rnacentral:rRNA from 1 species